GGGUGUGGCUCAGUGAUAGAGCAUAUGCUUAGCAUGUGAGAGGUCCUGGGUUCAAGCCCCAGCACCUCCA
rnacentral:tRNA from 1 species